rnacentral:lncRNA from 1 species
GGCGGCUCGGCAGUUCAUCACAGCCGUGCUCGGCGGCCGGCUGAUGCUUGGCCGCUAGCCAUAGGUAGUGACGGACGAGACGGUAAGGCGGCAACUAGCAGCCACGUCGCAGGUCUGCGGCCGGCUACGAGGGGUCUCUUCGCCUCUUCACGACGACAUCGACAAGUCCAUGAUGUCGUCUCAAACGGACCCAGGACAUGGCGGGCUCUUGGUUCCCUUGUUUGUGAACUGGUGAUGCUUGUUUGUACUGUAAGUUGUAGUUGACUAACUGGUGAUGCUUGUUUUAGUUUAUGACUAAAUAUAUACUGCAAUCCUCUGUUUUCCUGCUGAAAAUGCCCUUUUUUCCUGCUCAAAAUGUCCAUGUACUAGCUGCCGCUAAAUGGCUAUUGCCCGCAAUAGCGCCUAUAGCGUUUCGGACUAAGCUGCCGCAAAAUGGAAUUGCCCGUGAUUUAAAACUUUGCUAGCAAGUCAUCCAUUAGAAAUAGAGAUAACACAUGGGCAACAACCAUCCGUGCCUGUUCUUGAUGGAAAAACUGAGGCUCUCGUAUUUCAAACUGACAUGCAUACUCGCUCAAGACCACACACUACAAGUAUAGGUCGGCUGAGAUGCACAUUCGCUGAAGACUGCUUUACCUAAAAACACCAUCUUUCCAGAUGGCUAAGGGGAGCAACAAAAAACUGGCAUGCAUACCCACGGUGCUUACUGACUUUUUUUGAGAAUAGAGUAGGAAACCUACUCAAAACAGAGCAAUACAUUCAGAGAGCAUAAGAUGUCGAAGGCUACUCGGCACGUUCGCAAUCAAAACUUGCUCUCCGGAGCUCCUGGUCAGCGCGGCCAGUCCAUGAGCCAAAGUAUUCCUGCUCCUCUUCACGCACUGAACACUGCAGGCAGAGAAAGCGGCCAUAUAAUUAUUAAUGUCCGUUAUUAGCCCGUAGUUAGGGGAACAAGUGGGCCUCGUUGCUAGUAGUUCAUUCGCAAUCAGUUGAUUAUCCGUCUCAAUGGUCACCCGGCCAUUAAACAUUUCUGCCAUGGAUUGCAAUCCUAUCAGAAUGGCUCGAGCUUCGACCUCCUCAACGCUUCGGCACAGUGGCAAUUUCUUGCAGACUGAUUGAGGGCCGAGCCUUGGUAGUCUCGACCGACUGCGCCAGCCGUGCUUUCUCCUGUCUCUGCUAGAUAGGCUGCGUCCGUGUUGAUCUUAACUGUACAUCGUACUAGCGGGAUCCACUUUUCUUCAGAACGUUCAGAUGCAUGGACAAGAUGUGCAGUAUUCGGAUUUCCGUUCUGGCUGAAGUUUUCUGCAGUCUUUCCACUCGUCCACUCAGCUGAUGCCGCUGCCAUUCUUAAUUCUUCCUCAUAAUUUUUCAGAAAUUGCACUGAACUACUAAUUGUCUCUCUGCCAUUAUUUCGCACGCAGUCCUCCCUGAGAUGCCAGCAUCGCCAGAGUAACAUCAGGAUCCUGGCGCGCGUUCCCUCACUUUUUGUGUCCAACAUUACUUGCAGCCAGUUUUCACCUGUGAACCAGAACUUGUUUUCAGCAGGUAAGCUCCAAUCCUCUCUCAUAGCAGCUCUUAAUGCUCUGCUCUUGGUACACAUAAUCACUGCAUGAUGUUCAUUUUCUAUUCCAUGUCCACAAAUGUUGCAGGUAGCAUCCAACUCAAGGGUUCUCUUCCAUUUGUUCUCUUUUGUUGCUAGGGUGUUUGUAGCUACCCUCCAUUCAAAGAUUCGUAUUUUCCCUGACACCUUGGAUUUCCAGAUUAGGUCCCAUAUGCUCCGAUCAUUUGGGUCCCUGGUCGAGCUAGAGGGGUUUUGAGCUAGUUGUGGAAGUCCCAUUGCUGCAAGUUUGUAGGCGCUUCUGACCGAAAAAUCGCCAUUUCUCUCGUAAUGCCAUGCUAUGCGGUCCUCCAUGUCCGAGGAUGGGAUGUGAAUUUUGCAAAUCUUGGCUGCAUCAAAAGGGUGGAAAAUUUGCCUUAUUAAUUCUUUGUUCCACUCCUUUCUAUCCGUGUGCAUGAGUUGGUUAACCUAUCUGAUCCGAG